GCAGAGCUUCAAGCACUUUUGAGCCUUUGUCUUAAAUAAAAAUAUUGGUCCACUUUACUCCUCUUUGGAAGAAGGAAGAAGUGAAACUCAAGGAAGAUAUGACCUAUGCUGAAAAGAAGUUGAGAAAUCCUCUCCAUGUAUUACAUAGAGAAACAAAAGUGCCCCUGGCCACACAGGAUGCAGCCUCUAGUGCUAUCCAAAUAUGUAACUAGAGGAAAUGUGAUGUAGCUCUUUUGUCUUUCUAUGUUUCUGAAGGAUGUCUCCCUUGUGGAAAAGCU